UAUCACAGCCAUUUUGAUGACCU
rnacentral:miRNA from 1 species